rnacentral:SRP_RNA from 1 species
CCGGGAGUCGGGUGGACGUUAGCGUUCGCCAACCUGGUCAGGUCCGGAAGGAAGCAGCCACAACGGAUAGCGGCGGGUCGCCCGGCUCCUUCCAU